rnacentral:rRNA from 1 species
GAUGAACGCUGGCGGCGUGCCUAAUACAUGCAAGUCGAGCGAACUGAUUAGAAGCUUGCUUCUAUGACGUUAGCGGCGGACGGGUGAGUAACACGUGGGCAACCUGCCUGUAAGACUGGGAUAACUUCGGGAAACCGAAGCUAAUACCGGAUAGGAUCUUCUCCUUCAUGGGAGAUGAUUGAAAGAUGGUUUCGGCUAUCACUUACAGAUGGGCCCGCGGUGCAUUAGCUAGUUGGUGAGGUAACGGCUCACCAAGGCAACGAUGCAUAGCCGACCUGAGAGGGUGAUCGGCCACACUGGGACUGAGACACGGCCCAGACUCCUACGGGAGGCAGCAGUAGGGAAUCUUCCGCAAUGGACGAAAGUCUGACGGAGCAACGCCGCGUGAGUGAUGAAGGCUUUCGGGUCGUAAAACUCUGUUGUUAGGGAAGAACAAGUACAAGAGUAACUGCUUGUACCUUGACGGUACCUAACCAGAAAGCCACGGCUAACUACGUGCCAGCAGCCGCGGUAAUACGUAGGUGGCAAGCGUUAUCCGGAAUUAUUGGGCGUAAAGCGCGCGCAGGCGGUUUCUUAAGUCUGAUGUGAAAGCCCACGGCUCAACCGUGGAGGGUCAUUGGAAACUGGGGAACUUGAGUG